GACCAAAACUCUAACCACUGUCUCACCUAGCUCUGCCUCAGAAGGAAAUAAAUGAAGGAGGAAGAAAUGGAGGGAGAGGAAGAGAGCAGAGAAGAGAAAUGGAGAAAGGAUAGUAAUAUUUAAAGAGAAGUCAAACAACUAUUGCUAUACUGGAGUUAUUUCAUGCAGUAGAGUGGGGAACUUGAAGUCAGGAAGAACUUACUACUUAAGUAACCUGAAACAAAUCACUUGGAUUCUUUCUGCUUCCAUUUCUUCACCUAUAAAAUCCAAGUUUUGGAGUCUUGCAGUCUUGCAAAAGGUAUCCUUCCUGAACCCCAAAGGGAUCCUUCCUGCCCAUAACAUUUUGGCUCCCAGAAGAACGAGGGAAACCACAGGGGUACACAUUGACCACCAUAACAUUUUGAUGCCCAAUGUUUUUGGCCUUGGAUCAUCCACAAGGACACAGCC